CCUACGGGAGGCAGCAGUGGGGAGUAUUGGACAAUGGGGGCAACCCUGAUCCAGCAAUGCCGCGUGAGUGAUGAAGGCCUUAGGGUUGUAAAGCUCUUUCGGCGGGGACGAUGAUGACGGUACCCGCAGAAGAAGCCCCGGCUAACUUCGUGCCAGCAGCCGCGGUAAUACGAAGGGGGCAAGCGUUGUUCGGAUUUACUGGGCGUAAAGGGCGCGCAGGCGGCCCGUCAAGUCAGAUGUGAAAGCCCCGGGCUCAACCUGGGAACUGCAUUUGAGACUGGCGGGCUCGAGUUCGGGAGAGGAUGGCGGAAUUCCCAGUGUAGAGGUGAAAUUCGUAGAUAUUGGGAAGAACACCGGUGGCGAAGGCGGCCAUCUGGACCGAGACUGACGCUGAGGCGCGAAAGCGUGGGGAGCAAACAGGAUUAGAUACCCGGGUAGUC
rnacentral:rRNA from 1 species